UGAGUCAAGGGACAAAUGGACACAAAACGGAUGCUUGCAUACGUAUUUGUGUCUAUGAGGACCGCUAAAACAUGAGAAAGCAGCCAUUUUUUGUAAAAAAAUGAGCGAAUUUCGAAUGUUUGCGUGAUUUUGGGAGUGCAGAGCACGAAAAAAUCACGUAUGACUCA
rnacentral:sRNA from 1 species